UUAAUUCGAAGCAACGCGAAGAACCUUACCAGGUCUUGACAUCCCCUGACAACCCUAGAGAUAGGGCGUUCCCCUUCGGGGGACAGGGUGACAGGUGGUGCAUGGUUGUCGUCAGCUCGUGUCGUGAGAUGUUGGGUUAAGUCCCGCAACGAGCGCAACCCUUGAUCUUAGUUGCCAGCAUUCAGUUGGGCACUCUAAGGUGACUGCCGGUGACAAACCGGAGGAAGGUGGGGAUGACGUCAAAUCAUCAUGCCCCUUAUGACCUGGGCUACACACGUGCUACAAUGGAUGGUACAAAGGGCUGCAAAACCGCGAGGUUAAGCGAAUCCCAUAAAACCAUUCUCAGUUCGGAUUGCAGGCUGCAACUCGCCUGCAUGAAGCCGGAAUCGCUAGUAAUCGCGGAUCAGCAUGCCGCGGUGAAUACGUUCCCGGGCCUUGUACACACCGCCCGUCACACCACGAGAGUUUGUAACACCAGAAAGUCGGUGGGGUACCUUUUGGAGCCAGCCGCCCUCAAGGUGGGACCAGGUUGU
rnacentral:rRNA from 1 species